rnacentral:rRNA from 1 species
UACGUAGGGUGCAAGCGUUAAUCGGAAUUACUGGGCGUAAAGCGUGCGCAGGCGGUUGUGCAAGACAGGUGUGAAAUCCCCGGGCUUAACCUGGGAACUGCAUUUGUGACUGUACGGCUAGAGUGCGGCAGAGGGGGAUGGAAUUCCGCGUGUAGCAGUGAAAUGCGUAGAUAUGCGGAGGAACACCGAUGGCGAAGGCAAUCCCCUGGGCCUGCACUGACGCUCAUGCACGAAAGCGUGGGGAGCAAACAGG